rnacentral:rRNA from 1 species
AUACGGAGGGUCCGAGCGUUAAGCGGAAUUACUGGGCGUAAAGCGCGCGUAGGUGGAUGUAUAAGUCAGAUGUGAAAGCCCUGGGCUCAACCUAGGAACUGCAUUUGAAACUGUACGUCUAGAGUAUGGUAGAGGUGAGUGGAAUUUCAGGUGUAGCGGUGAAAUGCGUAGAGAUCUGAAGGAACAUCAGUGGCGAAGGCGACUCACUGGGCCAUUACUGACACUGAGGUGCGAAAGCGUGGGUAGCAAACAGGAUUAGAAACCCUAGUAGUCC